CAGUAGCCGCGGUAACACGUAGGUCCCGAGCGUUGUCCGGAUUUAUUGGGCGUAAAGGGAGCGCAGGCGGUUUAGUAAGUCUGAAGUUAAAGGCAUUGGCUCAACCAAUGUAUGCUUUGGAAACUGUUAGACUUGAGUGCAGAAGGGGAGAGUGGAAUUCCAUGUGUAGCGGUGAAAUGCGUAGAUAUAUGGAGGAACACCGGUGGCGAAAGCGGCUCUCUGGUCUGUCACUGACGCUGAGGCUCGAAAGCGUGGGUAGCGAACAGGAUUAGAUACCCCCGUAGUCCCUGUCUCUUAUACA
rnacentral:rRNA from 1 species